UUUUUAUAAAACGGUAAUGUUACAUUAUCGAGAUAAACCAUCUUUUUUUUAAGUGAAAAAAUGUAAUUUUACAUAUGUUUAAGGGCAAAUCUCCAAAACAGCACAUUUCUAAGUUUAUAUCACAAAAAUAGCACUCAAAAACUAAAAUGACCAAAAUAGCAUCUUUCAAAGUUUAUCUUUUGAAAAUUUUAAUUUUUUUAUUUUUCAAAAUUUGAAAUCUUAUCCCCAAAACCUCAUUUCUCAACUCUAAACCCUAAACCCUAAACCCAAAACUCUAAACCCUAAACCAUAAACCCUAAACUCUAAACCCUAAACCCUAAACUCUAAACCCUAAACCC
rnacentral:lncRNA from 1 species